rnacentral:rRNA from 1 species
GCUAAUACCGCAUACGUCCUACGGGAGAAAGUGGGGGAUCUUCGGACCUCACGCUAUCAGAUGAGCCCAGGUCGGAUUAGCUAGUUGGUGAGGUAAUGGCUCACCAAGGCGACGAUCCGUAACUGGUCUGAGAGGAUGAUCAGUCACACUGGAACUGAGACACGGUCCAGACUCCUACGGGAGGCAGCAGUGGGGAAUAUUGGACAAUGGGCGAAAGCCUGAUCCAGCCAUGCCGCGUGUGUGAAGAAGGUCUUCGGAUUGUAAAGCACUUUAAGUUGGGAGGAAGGGCAUUAACCUAAUACGUUAGUGUUUUGACGUUACCAACAGAAUAAGCACCGGCUAACUUCGUGCCAGCAGCCGCGGUAAUACGAAGGGUGCAAGCGUUAAUCGGAAUUACUGGGCGUAAAGCGCGCGUAGUGGUUUGUUAAGUCCGAUGUGAAAUCCCUGAGCUCAACCUGGAAAUGGCCUUGGAUACUGGCAGGCUAGAGUGCGGUAGAGGGGUGUGGAAUUCCCGGUGUAGCAGUGAAAUGCUUAGAUAUCAGGAGGAACAUCUGUGGCGAAGGCGACACCCUGCACCAACACUGACACUGAGGCACGAAAGCGUGGGGAUCAAACAGGAUUAGAUACCCUGGUAGUCCACGCCCUAAACGAUGCUAACUGGAUGUUGGGUGCAACUUGGCACUGUCUAACCAAACUAACUCGUUAAGUUCGCCGCCAGGGAAGUACGGUCGGUUGACUGAAACUCAAAGGAAUUGACGUCCGCCCGCACAAUGGAUGAUGUAUGUGGUUUAAUUGAUUGCAACGGAACCUUACUUGCCUGACCUUGACAUGCGACCAAGUUUGCAAACACGGAUUGGUGCCUUCGGGAACCGUGACACAGGUGCUGCAUGGUCUGUCGUCUCGCUCGUGUCGUGUGUUGGGUGGGUUAAGUCCACCCAACGAGCGCCCUAUCUGUCCUUACUUGCCAGCACGUCUGGGUGCUAACUCUAAAGAGACCGCGUGUGACACAACGAAGGAAGGUAUGAAUGACAGUCAGUCAUCCCUGCACUC